rnacentral:miRNA from 1 species
UGUGAAUCUUGAUGAUGCUACAU